CAAUCCUCAAGUAAACCUUCACUUAUAUCAUCGAUUGUCUGUCCUUUGUGCAGUCUUAGAUAAACAUGAGCAGAAGACAUUUUGUCCACAUGGAACCAAAUGUCUUCGGGGAAACCGUAUUUGAUAAGCUCCUCGUUCUCGUACUUGUCGAGGCCCAUAAAAAUGGUGUAAUCUCCUACCUCCGGACGAGCUUUGAAAUAGAACACCAUUUUUCCUUUUUUCCUUCUCCUUCUGCACCUCUUCCUCUCUCUCUCUCUCUCUCUCACUUUCGGUGUCCUUUUUGAAAAUCAAAAUUCCCAAUCUCUGAAUGCUGUUUCGUUAGGGUUUUCUUU
rnacentral:misc_RNA from 1 species